rfam:Brevibacillus sp. CF112 PMI08_contig_36.36, whole genome shotgun sequence.
AAAUGACAAAGGCAAACCUGUUGAAAGGCAGGGACGCAAAGCCACGGGUCUAAGGCAAGCAGAGCGCAUCUUCUGCUGCUACGAUAGCCGGGUUGCCAUG